GAUCAUGGCUCAGGAUGAACGCUGGCGGCGUGCUUAACACAUGCAAGUCGAACGGGAAACCUUUUAAAGAAGCUUCGGCAAAUUUAGCUGGUUUCUAGUGGCGGACGGGUGAGUAACGCGUGGGUAACCUGCCUUGUACAGGGGGAUAACAGUCAGAAAUGACUGCUAAUACCGCAUAAGCGCACAGGACCGCAUGGUCCAGUGUGAAAAACUCCGGUGGUAUAAGAUGGACCCGCGUUGGAUUAGCUGG
rnacentral:rRNA from 1 species